AUGAUGGAGAAGUUUGGUCGGCUGGUUGAUUUUGAAGCAGUUCAAGUACACUCUGUUAAUAUACCUAUGGAGCAGAUGAAAGUGAGAAUAAUGGAGAAAGAGUAUGAGCAUUUCGUGGAGCUCAAAGAAUGGGAGGAAAGAAUUGUAGCCCUGCAGCAUCAGCUAACGAAGCUGACAAGGGAAAACACCAGCAAGCUGCACCAGCUGAACAGGUUUUGCCAUGAAAAGCAUCAGCUUGAAACUGAACUGGAAUUACUGACAACUGGUCAGGUGAGCCUUGUAGCCACUGCAGUGCUUGCAGGUUUGGGACUGUUCAGAAAUAGGUAAGUGAUCAUCUGGCCCUCCCCAGCUCCCUGGUCUCACAUCCUGCUCUGCAGUCAGCAGUUUGGGCUAGGAGUGGGACAGGCGGAAUGGCUGCUCCAUACCUUACCAUCUCUGCAAUUUCUUACUUUGCUACUUUCUAAGACUGAAAUGAACUAAUUUCUAAUUAAAAUAUGCCUUGAAGGAAUUAAAAGAAUAUUCCUUUGUUUACAUGGAAACAGUCAUAUUACAGUCAUGUAACAGCAUUACAAUGAGAAGUGGAUUUAUUGCUCUGUACCAGGGAGUUAGUCUAAGUUAGUGAACCUUCAGUCUUUCACAUAGUUCUGACUAAGGUGGGGAAAAGUCAUGGGUAUGUCCUGGUUCUUGGCAAGCUUCACUUUCCCUGUUUGAAAUAAAUUUCCACUGUUCAUUCUCCAUGUUUUCUAGGAGCCAAUUUUUUCCUCUCCAUUUUCUUUUAUCUACAGGGUGGAGAAUUUGAGGGCACCCGAAGUGCUGACAUCAAAGAGACAGCCCGGCUGGAGUCACGGCUCAUGCACAUGACUUGUGAGGUGGCCCUUCUGAGAGAGGAAAUCAGCCAGGGCAGAGUAGAUGAGAUGUAAAAGAACUUGCUUUCCUUAGCAGAAAAGGUGGGUGCCUCUUUCUACAAGCUUUAGCACAAGACUCUGAGAUUCAAACUCCCUGCUCAGAAAUAGUAACUAGUCACCCUUAGAAUUAACUGUGGCAGCAGUCAUGCCCGGAAGUGCACAGUUAAUUGUUUUGGCUAUCCGGGGGUUUAGUUGUAAAGAGAUGUAUGGUUUUUUUCCAUCAAAAUAUGACUGUAGCAACAUAUUUGGAAUAAAAAAUAGCAAAUAAAACUACUAAAUACUGUUAUCAGUUCAUUGCAGAGGGUUGCACUGGACAAGGUGCGCUGUGUGCGUCCAUGUGUGUGUAUUAUGUCUGUGUCUAUCUUCAAACAAGUGGCUGUGGGAAGCUGGUUUGAAGUUUCCUUGGGGCAAAUAUUUAUUCUCAAAAAUGGUAAAAGAAGUCUGCCUCGAGCAAGCAUUUGUUACUGUUGAGCAGCAGUGGCCCUGCUCUGCUAACUGAAGAAUCCAGAGACACGCUGCUGGCCAGGAGAAAGCAAAGGGGUCUUUCUCCUCAGGGAAGGACAUGGCAUUUGCUGGCAGGAGGAGGGUGUAACAAUGGAAAGUCAGGCCGUAAUUCCACUGGCUUGCAGCUGCCUGAUCCGUCAGAGGGCCAAGCUGUGUAUGUUUCCAGGUAUUGCUCUUUUUUGCCUCUCUCAUUUGGUGUGGUGGCAGGAUGUGAUCAUUUACAGCAUUUACCCUGCCUGAUUGUGAAACCUUCCUUCAUCCCCAGGGUGGAGGGGUUGUGUUCUUCCCAUGCAAGGCUCCUGAGAUGGUAAUUUUUAAUUGAAUAAAUUAAAAAACCUCCAGCUGCUCUUGCUGUUCCUCUCCAUUUCCCACCUCUUGCCACAGUUCUUUGUGUCUCUGUCUGGUGUACACUCAGCAGGCCUCCAGCCAUAUCCCAGCCAGGCACAAGAACUUCCUGCUAGUCCCAGCACAAGUGUGUGAAUGGUGCUCGUGCAGCCUACCCUUACAGGGGGUCCCUGCUGAGGAAUACACCUGGUGCUGGGAGCUCUUGUGCAGCUGCAGGUUGUGCCCUGGGAGGUAGGAAAUGGCUGGAGCCCCAGGCGAGGGGCUGUCUGGCACCAAUCCCUUGCCUAACAAAGGACAAGGACAUACAGUGCCAGCUGGGUGGCCACAUACCCAGAGACUCAGCUGGAGACAGGGAACAAGACCCCAGACUCAGCAUCACCAGUGUCUAUUUGGAAAACUAACUGCAGGAAAAGGUCACCUUUCCCCAGAUGUCCUGCUUGCUGUAUGUCUGCAAGUAAAAAAGAAAAGGCUCGUUCUGUGUGAGGAAUCAGCUUAGAGCCAGGCACAGCAAAGACUAAAGCCUUUAUUUUAGAUGUUAAAGCGUGGAUUUGUCUUUACAGAUAGGCAGCUGCAGAUGGCGUGUAUGUGAAAGGUUGUUUAAGUUGAUUAGGCAGAGUGCGUAACUCCAGUUCAUUCACAGGAGCGUGUUCCUGGAACAAACUUUUCCUGUGGGUGAAAGGAAAAGACCUUUUAGGCAGCAUUAUUUAUUGUGAAACCCUCGCUGCAAGAGGGUGCUGGCAGCUCUGUUUGGACCCAUGUCCUGCAGUGUCCCUUGUCCAGCUGUUUCCAUUGUGUGCUGUGAUGGUGCCACUGAGAGCUGCUGCCUUGUUUCCUGGGUCCUCCCUUUGACCUUGCUGAGGAUGCCUUUUGUCUCCAUAGCAUUAUAAAAGGCACAUAUACAUCUAUAUACAAGUGCAUAAAUAUAUAAAUAGGGGUGUUAUACAAAAAUAAAUACCCUUUCUCUUUUUCUCUUUAGAAUAAGUCUUU
ensembl:lncRNA